UGGUGGGGGCGGGGCUUGUGGAAACGGCCCGCCGCAGGGUUGGCAGGCUUGAGAAGCAGCGAAUAUGGCGGAGUGAGGUGUUCAGCUGUGAACUGGCCUCUGGGCCGGGGGUAGGCCAGUCCGGCCAGCCCCCGGGAGGCCGAGUGCAUCUGUUGGACCGUGCGAGGAGAAGAAAAAAAAAGAGAUCGGCCAGAGGAAAGGAACUGAGCAUUCUUCCUCCCUGCCUUACCGAGGGGAGUGGUCACCUACACUAAAGCAAAGAUCUAAAUAGAGGUCCAUAAUCUACUGGAAAUUUUAUGCACAAUUACAAAUUUUUGUGGGAAGAAGAAGGUCCAUAACUUCAGAUUCUCAAAAAGGACAGUGUUCCAGAAAAACUUGAGAAUCAGUGCUUCAAGACUUGACAUCUUUUUAAAAAUAAUGCCAGUGCAGAUUCCUUAUCACGGGAAGAAUAUUUUCCUUGACAUUUGAGUGCUUUUAUAUUCAUCUCAAAAACAAAAUUCUGAACUCAGGACUUGGCAAGUGUCUCUACGUUGUCUCCUAGAGUGUGUAGUUCUACUUCUUUUACCCAGUUACUUUCUCUAUUUUUAAAAUGUGGAUAUCACUUCUCUAUACAUUAUCUCCAUGAUUUGGAAUGAAAAAGUCCGCUUUUUUUUUGUUCUGCCUCUCAGACUGAACACAGAGGAGCUCCUAGGAUUCCAGUUAUCCUGCCAACUUCUCCACGAAGAAAGAAGAAACUCACCUAGGUGUUCUGCUAUUUGCUUAAUUACAAAGACAUCAUUUUGCAAGCUGAAGGCUGAGUUUCAUUUGAAACAGGUCUCCGUAGGUGGUGGUAUUUGUGAAUACUUUUCGUUACGAACAAGAAGACUAAAUAAAUAGCAAGUAUGGAUGACUUCAGGGUUUAAAAACAAAAAUGUCUUCCAAUUUCAGCCACUAUCCUGAUAAGCACAGUUGAGACUGCAGCAGUAAAUUCCAAAUACGCAUUUCUAAUUUGACAUGAAAGAUAGUAAAAAAUUACAUAUAUUUAUAUAUUGAAAUCCUGGCUCAUCCUGUGACAUAGAUUUACUGAAUAAGAACAAAGACAAAAUUUUAUACAAAAACCUGGGCCAAGCAUGGUGGCUCAUGCCAUAAUCCCAACACUUUGGGAGGCCGAGGCGGGCGGAUCACCUGAGGUUGGGAGUUCGAGACCAGCCUGACCAACAUGGAGAAACCUCAUCUUUACUAAAAAUACAAAAUUAGCUAGGCAUGGUGGCGCAUGUCUGUAAUCCCAGCUACUCUGGAGGUUGAGGCAGGAGAAUUGCUUGAACCUGGGAGGUGGAGGUUGCAGUGAGCCGAGAUUGUGCCACUGCAUUCCAGCCUGGGCAACAGAGUGAGACUAUCUCAAACAAAUGAAGAAAAAAAAACAACUUUGGACAUAGAGGAGUCGGAGGUGGGAUGGGAGGAUGAGAGAAUUUUUCAUAUAACUCCUUUUCCCUAAGAAAAGCAAAAAUGCCUCAUGCAGUGCCAUCUGACUUUAUGGUGUUUUGUAUUAUAUAUUCAUUGUUUUCCUUCAACCCAAGGUGGAUAGUUUGAUUGCUUUUUUUUUUUUUUUUUUUUGAGGCAGAGUUUCACUCUUUUGCCCAACCUGGAGUCAGUCUCUCUGCCACCCAGGUUCAAGCGAUUCUCCUGCCUCAGCCUCCCAAGUAGCUGGGAUUACAGGCGCCCACCACCACGUCCGGCCUGAUUUCUUACCCAAGAUACUAGGUGUAGUGUUAGGCUCAAAAGGCUGGGACUCAAGUACUUUUCCUGGUUGGGACUGAACUUUCUCAUCGGAGAAUGAAUGGGCCUCAGAAACAAUGUUCCCAAACUUGUAAUUGGAUCAUUGUAGAUUCAGGAUGUGGAAAAGAAACCUUGAACAAGAAAAAUAGUUACAUUAAGAAAUGGAUUUUCUUUUUUUACCAUAGUAGUUAUUCGUUAUA